rnacentral:rRNA from 1 species
AUCGAACGCUGGCGGCAUGCCUAACACAUGCAAGUCGAACGAGUGGCGGACGGGUGAGUAAUGUCUGGGAAACUGCCUGACGGAGGGGGAUAACUACUGGAAACGGUAGCUAAUACCGCAUACCAUCAGAUGUGCCCAGAUGGGAUUAGCUUGGUGGUGGGGUAACGGCUCACCAAGGCGACGAUCCCCAGCUGGUCUGCGAGGCUGACCCGCCACACUGGAACUGAGACACGGUCCAGACUCCUACGGGAGGCAGCAGUGGGGAAUAUUGCACAAUGGGCGCAAGCCUGAUGCAGCAAUGCCGCGUGUAUGAAGAAGGCCUUCGGAUUGUAAAGUACUUUCGGCGGGGAGGCGUUACCUGAAGAAAAAGCAACGGCUAACUCCGUGCCAGCAGCCGCGGUAAUUC